UGAUUUUUCCACAUAAUUCCA
rnacentral:piRNA from 1 species